UUUGUUGUGAAUGGAGUAAAUGGUGGAGAGGUGAGUUGCAAAAUAAAUUCAGAGAAGCUAAACAGAUGGAUGCAAGGGCAUAGAGCCUGUGGAACAAGAACUCGGAGAUGUGAGAGAUGAGCUGGAAUUUCAGAGACAGAAAAACUACUAGGAUAUCAGCUACAGAGGUCUCUGAAAAGCAACUUAUUCUCUGGCGACUUGAGGAAUCAUCUACACAUCACAAUUCCAUCAACAUCACAGGCCCGAAGCAUUUCAGAUGGGAUUUAAGGCGAAGGCGGACCUUCCAUUUGGACAUGGCCAAGCAUUCACACAUCGUUACAAAUCAUCUCAGAUGGCUGUGAAUGCCCGCCUGGAAGUCGAAGGGCUGAGUUCAGUGGAAGCUCUGCUACUUGCUAUUGAACUUGCUGUUUAGCACUGGGCAAGUUAUUUUCCCAGAACAGACCUAAGGAGUCUGCUCUUUAAAAUAGAGAAUUGGGUUCAUUGGAGGAGCAUUCAAAUAUUGGCAGUGGGCCAAAUCCACUCUGCCCUUGUAAAUAAAGCUUUAUUGAAACAUAA